AUUCACAUAUGCGUGAAUAUGUUUCACAUAUGCGUGAAUACACUUCACAUAUGCGUGAAAUGUAUUCACGCAUAUGUGAAAAAUAUUCACGCAUAUGUGAAU
rnacentral:miRNA from 1 species